CCCUUAGAUGUCCUGGGCCGCACGCGCGCUACACUGAUACGUUCAACGAGCCCACCUUGGUCGAGAGGCCUAGGUAAUCUUUUGAACGCGUAUCGUGAUAGGGAUAGAUCAUUGCAAUUAUUGAUCUUGAACGAGGAAUUCCUAGUAGACGUAGUUCAUCAGACUGCAUCGAUUACGUCCCUGCCCUUUGUACACACCGCCCGUCGCUCCUACCGAUUGAAUGAUCCGGUGAGCUAUUCGGACCUUCGCUUUUCUGAUUUUCAGUUUGGUGAGGGAAAGUCUCGCGAACCUUAUCAUUUAGAGGAAGGAGAAGUCGUAACA
rnacentral:rRNA from 1 species